rnacentral:lncRNA from 1 species
GGGGGCGGUCAAAAGGGACUGAGAAAAGAGACUUGAAGGGGUGGACUCCAUUUAGAUUGGAUGGGAGGGGACUAGGAGAAGUGACUCAAGUAGAAGAAAUUAUUACAUGCACCAGAUGCAAGUGAACCAAGGCAAAUCUCAAAGCAUAUGCACGGUGGAUAGCACGCAAUUGGGAAUUGGUGAAAUACAAGGGAUAGCAUGGCAUGUUAUGCACCAGAGGAU